rnacentral:siRNA from 1 species
UUGAUGUAGCUGACUUCUUCC